rnacentral:rRNA from 1 species
AUGCUACCUCAUCACCUGCGACACAAGCAGGUCUGCAAGCCCGGCACGCCCAUCACCGUGUCCGUCACCAAUUUCUGCCCUCCCAACUGGGCUCUCCCCAGCGACAAUGGCGGGUGGUGCAACCCUCCGCGUGUACACUUCGACAUGUCCCAGCCCGCCUGGGAAAACCUCGCCAUCUAUCGCGCUGGCAUCGUCCCCGUCCUUUACCAGCAGGUCGCGUGCCAGAGGCAGGGCGGCCUGCGCUUCACCAUUAACGGCUUCAAUUACUUUGAGCUCGUGCUGGUGAGCAACAUCGCCAUGAGCGGGUCGAUCAAGAGCAUGUCGGUGAAGGGAACCAACACGGCAUGGAUCCCGAUGUCCCAGAACUGGGGCGCUGAUUGCCAGUGCUUAGCGGGGCUGCAAGGGCAGGCACUCAGCUUCGUGAUCACCUCCUCGGGCGGCCAGUACAAGGUCUUCCAGGACAUUGUGCCGGCUUGGUGGCUGUUCGGACAGAUCUUCACCACCUGGCAACAGUUCGACUACUAG